rnacentral:misc_RNA from 1 species
ACGUAAAUCUAUUACCGGGACACAUUCGAACCGUAAUAUCGAAAAUGACUCAAUCGCAGUUUCUUCGGAAUAUUCGAGGGUUUCUAUUCUACGAUCGAUCGAAUCUUUCGUUUAGCGUAAUUCGUAAGGCUCGGUAUUGGAAGAUCGCCGACAUUUCUUGGACACUAAUAUAUUACCACUGACGACUAUUCGAAAACUAUAAUCGAUCUACAGUAGCGGAUUAGUAAUUGAAGAUCACGUUUCGACAAAUGAUAAUCUUCUCAACAGCCUAAAUUCAAACUUACAACGAUCUAACUUGAAACGCAACAACACUCGAGAGAGCCGAACAAAACCAUGCAAUAAUCCUCCGUACGUCUUUCUACAAUCGGAAACACCUCUCCAGUCUGGAAACCUCUUUACGUAACGUUAACCACUUGUCUUUUCCCUUGCAGGAUUUUCUCCAUUUUACCUCGAGAACGAAAUUAUUCGCUUUUCUCUUUCCGCGUUUUUUCCUCGCGACUACCAAUCACAGAAUCUCCAGCGACCUGUCAAAGCUAAAACCACCCCACCCCCCUUCGUGCAGUCGGAAGAAAUUGCUAUUUGAGUAUUUGUUGGGUGUUCGUUUAAAAUUCCCACGAGUCGUGGGCCAAAUUACGUUCAGGUUUUACUAUAAUUUAAAAAAUAAUGAAAAAAGAAAUAAAAAUCCACCCUCUUCGUGGCGUCAAAAGAAAUUGUCAUUUGAGUAUUUGUUGGGUGUUCGUUUAAAAUUGCCUCGAGUCGCGAGAGGAGUUAUCUUCACGUCUUACUAUAACUUAAAAAAUAAUGAAAACAGAAAUAAAAAUCCACCCUCUUCGUGGCGUCGAAAGAAAUUGUCAUUUGAGUAUUUGUUGGGGGUUCG